GGGCUUGUAGCUCAAUUGGCAGAGCACCCGGUUUGCAUCCGGGAGGUUAGCGGUUCGAUUCCGCUCAAGUCCA
rnacentral:tRNA from 1 species